GUUUAUACUGAGAUUAAAAAGAUAAAUUUCUCGAUCUCGUCAGAUCUCGGAAGCAAAGCAGGGUCGGGCCUGGUUAGUACUUGGAUGGGAGACCGCCUGGAAACACUGGGUGCCGUAGGCU
rnacentral:rRNA from 1 species